rnacentral:lncRNA from 1 species
UGAUCACUACCCAUCCAGUUCCUGCUAUGCGACGAAGCAGAUGAACCACGAACACCAUGAGGCUCUUGCGAAACGCCAUCCGAGUGUAAUCUGCAAUCCCACAUCCUCAAAGCCGGGGGAGAGAAGCUAGAAUUCGUCCUCCAACGAGGGGGUUGUUCUUCUCCCUCGUUGAAAGACGGAUCAUUUCUGCCACCGCCUUCGACAGAAGACUUUGCUCCGCCAUGUGGCCCAGCGGCCACACAACAUAGGGCACCCGUGUUAGCUAUUUUCUAUUGACCACCAGUAAGGUGUUUGCAGCUUCAGAUAAAUGG